UACAGAGGGUGCGAGCGUUAAUCGGAAUUACUGGGCGUAAAGCGUGCGUAGACGGCUAUCUAAGUCGGGUGUGAAAGCCCCGGGCUCAACCUGGGAAUUGCAUUCGAGACUGAAUAGCUAGGGUGCGGUAGAGGGAAGCGGAAUUUCCGGUGUAGCGGUGAAAUGCGUAGAUAUCGGAAGGAACAUCAGUGGCGAAAGCGGCUUCCUGGACCAGCACCGACGUUCAGGCACGAAGCGUGGGAGC
rnacentral:rRNA from 1 species